rnacentral:rRNA from 1 species
GACGAACGCUGGCGGCGUGCUUAACACAUGCAAGUCGAACGGAAAUGCCCUGCUUUUGUGGGGUGCUCGAGUGGCGAACGGGUUAGUAACACGUGAGUAACCUGCCCUUGACUUUGGGAUAACUUCAGGAAACUGGGGCUAAUACCGGAUAGGAGCUCCUGCUGCAUGGUGGGGGUUGGAAAGUUUCGGCGGUUGGGGAUGGACUCGCGGCUUAUCAGCUUGUUGGUGGGGUAGUGGCUUACCAAGUCUUUGACGGGUAGCCGGCCUGAGAGGGUGACCGGCGACAUUGGGACUGAGAGACGGCCCAGACGCCUACGGGAGGCAGCAGGGGGGAAUAUUGCACAAUGGGCGGAAGCCUGAUGCAGCAACGCCGCGUGCGGGAUGACGGCCUUCGGGUUGUAAACCGCUUUCGCCUGUGACGAAGCGUGAGUGACGGUAAUGGGUAAAGAAGCACCGGCUAACUACGUG